rnacentral:lncRNA from 1 species
AUGUAUUGUCAUGUUGUGUGUUUCUGUCCUUUCCCUUCACCCUGUCUCCCUCUGCUGGUCGUUGUUAGGUUACCUUUUCUCCUCCUCUUUCCCCCAGCUGUGCCUUGUCUCCUCCUAACUACCCAUUCACCCCGUUUCCCACCUGUUCCCUUUUUCCCUCUGAUUAGGUUACCUUUUCUCCUCCUCUUUCCCCCAGCUGUGCCUUGUCUCCUCCUAACUACCCAUUCACCCCGUUUCCCACCUGUUCCCUUUUUCCCUCUGAUUAGGUCCCUAUAUCUCUCUCUGUUUUUGUUCCUGUCCUUGUCGGAUUCUUGUUUGUUGUGUUUCAUGCCUGAGCCAGACUAUCGUCAUGUUUGCUGUAACCUUGUCCUGUCAGAAUCUGCCGGUCUAUCUGAGCCUACCUAUGUUUGGUUAUUAAAGAAGCUCUGUUUAAGUUAGUUCGCUUUUGGGUCCUCAUUCACUCACCGUAACAACAAUAGUCAUUUACAACAUUAACAAUGUCUACACUGUAUUUUUGAUCAAUUUGAUGUUAUUUUAAUGGACAAAACAUGUGCUUUUCUUUAAAAAACAAGGACAUUUCUACGUGACCCCAAACUUUUGAAAGGUAGUGUAUAUAAUGGUCUCCAGGCAGUGAUGGAUGAUAGGGAGGAGUGAUACAGUACUGUAUAGAAACCGACUGUUAUCCUAUCUACCGCUAGAUCUGUGUUCAAUGUCUGUGUUCUUCCUGUCCCUAUGCCUGGUUCUGUGUUUGUGGAGCACAGCGAGACUGAAACAGGGUUUUGGACAACAUAGUCAAGAGGAGGAGGUUAACUACUUUACAUCAAGAUGCUCAGGGGUUGUGUGUGUGUGUUUUCCAUUGUUUCUGCUGCAGGGUCAACCCUGGCAUGUAAACACAUGCAGUAAUGGCCACAGCUAUCUCUCAGAGAUCAGAAGGAGUGAGAGGACAGAAGAGAUUGGAGAGAGAGAUAGAGGGAUAGGGGUGACAGUCAGCGGUUGUUUUGCUGCUUGGGAUCUGUUCUAUCCUUGUUUUGGAUUAUACAGAUAGAGUCGAAAAUUUGAAUAAUGUAAGUUUCCAUUGUGGAAAAUAAAUCAUGUUUAUCUUACUCUCUCUCUGUCUCUCUGUCUCUCUGUCUCUCUCUCUGUCUCUCUCUCUCUCUCUCUCUCUCUCUCUGUCUCUCUCUCUCUCUCUCUCUCUCUCUCUCUGUCUCUCUCUCUCUCUCUCUGUCUCUCUCUCUCUCUCUCUCUCUGUCUCUCUCUCUCUCUCUCUCUCUCUCUCUCUCUCUCUCUCUCUGUCUCUCUCUCUCUCUCUCUCUCUCUCUCUCUCUCUCUCUCUGUCUCUAUCUCUGUCUCUCUCUCUCUCUGUCUCUCCCUCUCAUGCACUCUCUCUCUCUCUCUCUCUGUCUCUCUCUCUCUCUGUCUCUAUCUCUGUCUCUCUCUCUCUCUCUCUGUCUCUCCCUCUCAUGCACUCUCUCUUUGAAUAAUGUAAGUUUCCAUUGUGGAAAAUAAAUCAUGUUUAUCUUACUCUCUCUCUGUCUCUCUGUCUCUCUGUCUCUCUGUCUCUCUCUCUGUCUCUCUCUCUCUCUCUCUCUGUCUCUCUCUCUCUCUCUCUCUCAUGCACUCUCUCUCUCUCUCUCUCUCUCUCUCUCUCUCUCUCUCUCUCUCUGUCUCUCCCUCUCAUGCACUCUCUCUCUCUCUCUCUCUCUCUCUCUCUGUCUCUAUCUCUGUCUCUCUCUCUCUGUCUCUCCCUCUCAUGCACUCUCUCUCUCUCUGUCUCUCUCUCUCUCUGUCUCUAUCUCUGUCUCUCUCUCUCUCUCUCUGUCUCUCCCUCUCAUGCACUCUCUCUUUGAAUAAUGUAAGUUUCCAUUGUGGAAAAUAAAUCAUGUUUAUCUUACUCUCUCUCUGUCUCUCUGUCUCUCUGUCUCUCUGUCUCUCUCUCUGUCUCUCUCUCUCUCUCUCUCUGUCUCUCUCUCUCUCUCUCUCUCUCAUGCACUCUCUCUCUCUCUCUCUCUCUCUCUCUCUCUCUCUCUCUCUCUCUGUCUCUCCCUCUCAUGCUCUCUCUCUCUCUCUCUCUCUCUCUCUCUCUCUCUCUCUGUCUCUAUCUCUGUCUCUCUCUCUCUCUGUCUCUCCCUCUCAUGCACUCUCUCUCUCUCUCUCUCUGUCUCUCUCUCUCUCUGUCUCUAUCUCUGUCUCUCUCUCUCUCUCUCUGUCUCUCCCUCUCAUGCACUCUCUCUUUGAAUAAUGUAAGUUUCCAUUGUGGAAAAUAAAUCAUGUUUAUCUUACUCUCUCUCUGUCUCUCUGUCUCUCUGUCUCUCUGUCUCUCUCUCUCUCUCUCUCUGUCUCUCUCUCUCUCUCUCUCUCAUGCACUCUCUCUCUCUCUCUCUCUCUCUCUCUCUCUCUCUCUCUCUGUCUCUCCCUCUCAUGCACUCUCUCUCUCUCUCUCUCUCUCUCUCUCUGUCUCUAUCUCUGUCUCUCUCUCUCUGUCUCUCCCUCUCAUGCACUCUCUCUCUCUCUCUCUCUCUCUCUCUCUCUCUCCCUCUCAUGCACUCUCUCUCUCUCUCUCUCUCUCUCUCUUUCUCUCACACACACACAGGCACACACAUAUUAAUAUUCUCUUUACCGGGGCUCAUGUAUGGACCCCUGCGUUUGUCUUCUGAAGCACAUUGAGCACUGACAUCAAAGGACUGACUGGCUGGCAUACUCACUCAUUCUCUGAUCCAAUGAUGUAUUGUGUCUUCCCAUUGAUUCAAGGCCUUGUGAGUUACUGUAUGAUGGAUUUUCGGAGCUCCCUGCUAGCCUUCCCCUCCAUACUCUGUACCCCUCAUGAGAGGAGGAGACAGGAAUGACUGAUAAGUAAAUCUAUCUGCAUUUGAAUUUGAAAAGAAUCAGAGAAGGAGAAUGUAGGAUUACAGCAGCCGUUGUGACAGGACUGUAGAGAUCAGAGACAGACAAAGGAUGCUGUGGAUAUCAUAAUAUUAUGGAAAUAAAAAGUAUGGCAUUGUUGCCAGUCAACAAUCCAUUCACAUUUGCAAUUAUAGUCCAUCAGACAGCUUAUCCUGGUUGGAGUGACUGUGAAACCAACCUGCCAAACCACUGCUUCAAGGUCAUGGCUAGAAGGGAUCCAGCUUUUGUCAAAUUAAGUUGAAAUAUUUUAGCUAACCCUAACUCUUUUCAUAACCUUAACCUAAUUAUCCUAACCUGCUAUGUAAAUGUUCCUAAUCUGCUGCUUGAAUUCUCCUAACCUGCUACGAAAAGUCAAAUCUGAUGUUUAUUUGACAAAAGCUGGAUCCCGUCUAACCCUGACCCUGCUUCCGGGCUCAUAGAGAAACACACAAACACCCUGCACUAUGAUGUCAUACAGGGUGGGUAAUUCUUAAAUUGCAGUGGUA